GCCCUUGUGCCAAGCAGCCGCGGUAAUUCCAGCUCCAAUAGCGUAUAUUAAAGUUGUUGCGGUAAAAAAGCUCGUAGUUGGAUUUCUGUUGAAGACGUCCGGUCCAUACCACGUAUGCGCAUCUGGCUCGGCUUCGGCAUCCUCUCGAAAGACGUUUCUGCGCUUGAUUGCGUGGAGCGGAUCUCGGGACUUUUACUUUGAGGAAAUUAGAGUGUUCACGGCAGGCUAUCGCCAGAAUACAUUAGCAUGGAAUAAUACUAUAGGAUCUCGGUUCUAUUUUGUUGGUUUCUAGAAUUGAGAUAAUGAUUAAUAGGGACAAUUGGGGGCAUUCGUAUCAACACGUUAGAGGUGAAAUUCUUGGAUCGUGUUGCGACGAACUACUGCGAAAGCAUUUGCCAAGGAUGUUUUCAUUGAUCAAGAACGAAAGUAAGGGGAUCGAAGACGAUUAGAUACCGUCGUAGUCUUUACCAUAAACUAUGCCAACUAGAGAUGGGACAUCGUUCACUUAAGACUUGUUCCGCACCUUAUGAGAUAUCAAAGUCUUUGGGUUCCGGGGGGAGUAUGGUCGCAAGUCUGAAACUUAAAGGAAUUGACGGAAGGGCACCACCAGGAGUGGAGCCUGCGGCUUAAUUUGACUCAACACGGGGAAACUCACCAGGUCCAGACAUAAUAAGGAUUGACAGAUUGAUAGCUCUUUCUUGAUUUUAUGGGUGGUGGUGCAUGGCCGUUCUUAGUUCGUGGAGUGAUUUGUCUGCUUAAUUGCGUUAACGAACGAGACCUUAACCUGCUAAAUAGGAGCGCCUAUCUCCGGAUAAGCGCCUUUCUUCUUAGAGGGACUUUAUGCGUUUCAGCAUGAGGAAGUUUGAGGCUAAAACAGGUCUGUGAUGCCCA
rnacentral:rRNA from 1 species